CUCAGAAGAUCAAAAAAAGUCUGCCCCUACUUACUCCAGUGUUAAAUUUUCAGUGAUUUCUACUGGAGACUGCUGCUUAUUGGAGCCCUUUGGAAAGGAAUUACUUCUGACAUGAAUCUUUGGCAAAAGCAGGUGAUUUUUUUUUUUCCUGCCUCCAGAACCAAGGCUACUUGCAGGAGAAUGGGUUCCUGAUUUUUUUAUUCAGCCUCUAUGUGUCCCAGACAUGGCUCUUCUCCAGGUAUGCUUUUAUUGAAAAAAUAAGGAUGUUGAAGAAAGAAGCAUGCCUAUUGUAGCUUCACAAGUUUGUAUUGGUGCAAAAGCACAGAUGAGGUUGCUAAAAGUGAACCAUGCACCUGUAGCUCCUUUGUAUUGUGUUACUUGUAUAGGCUUGCCUUUUGAGAAGUCUCCAUCUCAUCCAGCAUACUCAUAUUGUGUCCAAAUUUUGCAGUUCUGUCUCUACAAAUUCUGUUGCCCUCCUUUUAUCUUUUCCUUUUUUCCU